CCCUUAGAUGUUCUGGGCUGCACACGUGCUACACUGGCAGGUUCAGCGAGCUUCAUGCCCUGAUCUGAAAGGAAUGGGAAAUCUUUUCAAAACCUGCCGUGCUUGGGAUAGAUGUUUGCAAUUAUUCAUCUUCAACGAGGAAUGCCUAGUAAACGCAAGUCAUCAGCUUGCAUUGAUUACGUCCCUGCCCUUUGUACACACCGCCCGUCGCUCCUACCGAUUGAAUGAUCCGAUGAAUACCAUGGAUUGAGAGUACGAAUAGGUUCGCUUAUUUCUGCUGCUCGAGAAGUGGAGUAAACCUUAUCAUUUAGAGGAAGGAGAAGUCGUAACA
rnacentral:rRNA from 1 species